rnacentral:tRNA from 1 species
UAUGAUGAGCCUGAUUAAAGGAUAAUUUUGAUAGAAUUAAUUACGUGUUCUACACCAUCAUAA